rnacentral:sRNA from 1 species
UACCAGGGGCGAAAGUUCAGAAAUCUGAUGCAAGCUUGCUUGCAAGAGGAUUUUUGAAUUUGAGCCCCGCCAAAACAUGAAUAAGUAGCCAUUUUUCGCAGAAAAAUGAGCGGAUUAUGAAUGUUUUGAGGAUUGUGGGAGCACGCAGUGCGAAACAAUCCGGUAU